AAAUUGAAGAGUUUGAUCAUGGCUCAGAUUGAACGCUGGCGGCAGGCUUAACACAUGCAAGUCGAGCGGAAACGAGUUAUCUGAGCCUUCGGGGGACGAUAACGGCGUCGAGCGGCGGACGGGUGAGUAAUGCCUAGGAAAUUGCCCUGAUGUGGGGGAUAACCAUUGGAAACGAUGGCUAAUACCGCAUAAUGCCUACGGGCCAAAGAGGGGGACCUUCGGGCCUCUCGCGUCAGGAUAUGCCUAGGUGGGAUUAGCUAGUUGGUGAGGUAAGGGCUCACCAAGGC
rnacentral:rRNA from 1 species